rnacentral:rRNA from 1 species
UACGGGGGGGGCAAGCGUUGUUCGGAAUUACUGGGCGUAAAGGGCUUGUAGGUGGCCAACUAAGUCAGACGUGAAAUCCCUCGGCUUAACCGGGGAACUGCGUCUGAUACUGGAUGGCUGGAGUGUGGGAGAGGGAUGCGGAAUUCCAGGUGUAGCGGUGAAAUGCGUAGAUAUCUGGAAGAACACCAGUGGCGAAGGCGGCUCACUGGUCCGGUACUGACGCUGAGGUGCGAAAGCGUGGGGAGCAAACAGG